GACCCAUCUAUUUCUUCUUUUCUACUUUUUAUCAAACGAUUUCUUCUCCUUUCUUCUAUCUGUCGAUCAAUCUUAGUAAUCUUCUCUUCUUGAAAGAUUUCGAUCCUUAGCAUAAUCGAUCGUCCUAAUAUUAUCCGUUUCUACAGAGCUAUCUCUAAGGCUAUGCCAAGGCGGUGAACUCUUGGAGAAAUACGUCAAAGGGGAGGCAAAUACUCAUAAGAAGAUGCUAAAAGGCGUGGUUCUUAGUGUAGUAGCUUAUUGUCAUCUUCAAGGCGUGGGUCACUGUGACCUCAAACCCGAGAAAAUGAAGGUUUAAACUUUGGAACAAAUUCUCAAGCCUUAUCUGGGCUACAACUUAUUGUGAUCUUGUUGUUCUAGCUAAGACACAAAAACGUAGAGGUACUGCACAAUCUCGUUCGUUAUGGAGAGACGGUUUCAAUCUCGUUCGUCACUGAGACUUGGAGACCCGAUAGCUUUUUACUAGAAGAUUGAGAAGGACCGCUCUCUUGGACUGCACACUCUUUGUUUGCUAUAUAUUCGAGUGAAAGAGCCCACCUUUGAAACAAUUUGCAGAGGACGAAAGAAACAGUAUGAACCACCCAAGUAUAUGACUGUUAAUACAACGAUCGAGCAGCAGCUAGAAGUUGAGCAAAAGCAUGGAGAAUCUGUUUUAUGGUUUAUGGUGAAGACACAUAGUGUGUGGGCUAUGCAGUGAGGACCAUAAGAUAGUUUCCGGAACAAUAAGACUCGAGAGUGUUGAUUUUGGAGACUGUUGCAUUAACUUGUGAUUGUAGGCAAUAUUCAUCCUUUGGAAGAAGAUGUUAGAGUUUUUACAAAUAUUAAAAUGCAGACUAAAAGACCAAGAGUAAAGAAUACCUGUAUUUUUGUUCGAAAAGUUUAAUGAAGAUGUUUUUUUGACGAA